GACGAACGCUGGAGGCGUGCUUAACACAUGCAAGUCGAACGAUGAAAUGGAGCUUGCUCCAUGGAUUAGUGGCGAACGGGUGAGUAACACGUGAAUAACCUGCCCUUAAUUUUGGAAUAACCCAGGGAAACCUGGGCUAAUACCGGAUAAGUAAACCUGUGGCAUCAGAUGGUUUUGGAAAGUUUUUCGAUUAAGGAUGGAUUCGCGGCCUAUCAGCUUGUUGGUGGGGUAAUGGCUCACCAAGGCGACGACGGGUAGCCGGCCUGAGAGGGUGAACGGCCACACUGGGACUGAGACACGGCCCAGACUCCUACGGGAGGCAGCAGUGGGGAAUAUUGCGCAAUGGACGAAAGUCUGACGCAGCGACGCCUCGUGAGGGACGAAGGUCUUCGGAUUGUAAACCUCUUUCAGCAGGGACGAAGCGAAAGUGACGGUACCUGCAGAAGAAGCACCGGCUAACUAUGUGCCAGCAGCCGCGGUAA
rnacentral:rRNA from 1 species